AAGAAAAUCACGAGGAAAAAACUCGAACACCCGAAAGGUCGUGAGCUAACUUAUCCUGCCAAAGAACUAACCCUCUACUGUUACAAUAGUAGAAAAAAAGGAAAAGUUAGAGGUAAAACGCCAAUCGCACCACCUGAUAACUGGUAUUCGGAAAAAGAAGUAUAAGCUACUUUUACCUAAAGAACAAGUCUAACGUUACAACAAACAAAGAUCAUUUUCCAGUAAAAAUAGAGGGCAGAAGACAAGUUCUACCCUCAAAAGGGAAACAACCCUCAGCGUAAGCAAAGUCAUCAAAAGAAGGGGGAAACAACCAAAGUAGGCCUAAAAGCUGCCAACCAGAGAGAAAGCGUUAAAGCUCUUAAAUCUAUUAUCCCAAGAAUCCUUGCUACCAAACCUACUCUUCGCUAUAGGUAUCCGAAGAAAACAAUGUUAAGAUAAGUAAAAAGAAACUCCUCUCAAGCUCACAAAGACACCUUAAUUCUUCAACCGAAUAGAGCAAAACACAAGAAAGCUCCCUAUAUUAUCCUACCAACCCAGGUGUGAGAAACAAGAAUCGGAGAACCAGGAGGAAAGGAACUCGGCAAAACAGAAAAAGGACUGUUUACCAAAAACAUAGCUCUUUGAAUAUUUAAAGGGUCCAGCCUGCCCAGUGGCCCAAAGCUAAACGGCCGCGGUAUCUUGACCGUGCAAAGGUAGCAUAAUCACUUGUCUUUUAAAUGGAGACUCGUAUGAACGGCGAAACCUCUUUCAACUGUCUCUCCUCCUACCCUUCAAAAUUUCUUUCUGUGUGAAGAAGCACAGAUAUAACAGAAAGACGAGAAGACCCUGUCGAGCUUUAACCACUAAGUGAACACUCCCUACUUACUAGCUAUCACCUAAAGGUUUUGGUUGGGGCAACCAUGGAGAAAAAAAAUCCUCCAGAACAAAUAGAAGAAAACCUUUCACUAAUUAUCACCACUUUAAGAACCAGGAACUGGUAUUCGGAAAAAGUUACCGCAGGGAUAACAGCGUUAUCUCCUCUGAGAGUCCUUAUUGACGAGGAGGCUUGCGACCUCGAUGUUGGAUUGGGGCCCCCUUAGGGUGCAGAAGCUCUAAACGGUUAGACUGUUCGUCUAUUAAAGCCCU
rnacentral:rRNA from 1 species